ACCAUGGUUCAGUUGCACAUGCAGAGGCUGAAGGGAUGAAAGAGCACAUACAAUUCCACUGGGAAAUACACAGCACACACCUUGUCAGGACAAUCUGCAGAAAACACACUGGAAUUGGCACAUAAAGGGCGCUGUGGCCCUGCUACAGCAGCACCCUGUCUGGCACUGAAAGGGUACACUGGUACUGUGAUGGAACUGGUUCAGACCACUGCGCUACCAUUAGUCAUGGGCAUGUGACAAUCUACAAACAUCAUGGAGACAGCAGGUUCUUAUUCAGGGCAGGGCAAUUAUUGUUAUCACCUGAUAGACAUCAUUCCCGGGAAGCCUGGCUGGCUGGCAGUGUCUCUCUGUCUCUCCGACGAUGAACACGGGGUCCCUGUUCACACUGCUGCUGCUGCUGCUGCUGCUGCUCUGCCUGUGGGCUCUCCCGGAGCCGUCUGAAAGCACUGCAGAGCGCAGGCAGCGAGAAAUCGUCUCCUUGGAAACCAACACGAACACAGAAGGCGCUGAACUCCAGAAGAAGCGAACCUCACUGUGGAAAUUGAUAAGAAAGGGAAGAUAAGCGUGACUAACAUGGAGCGCCAGGACUGAGAGCGCACCCUGCCGGAGCCACACAGUACUACAGGGACUUCUGAUCCCGGCGGCGUCUAUUUUAACGAUCUACAUCACUUUGCUUCUUAUGUUUUCGUUCAGAAUUGUCAAUGUUGAAGUGAGUUGCUGGCUUUCAACAUUAAAGAAGUUUAAAACUGA